rnacentral:rRNA from 1 species
UACGUAGGGGGCAAGCGUUGUCCGGAAUUAUUGGGCGUAAAGCGCGCGCAGGCGGUCCUUUAAGUCUGAUGUGAAAGCCCACGGCUCAACCGUGGAGGGUCAUUGGAAACUGGGGGACUUGAGUGCAGAAGAGGAGAGCGGAAUUCCACGUGUAGCGGUGAAAUGCGUAGAGAUGUGGAGGAACACCAGUGGCGAAGGCGGCUCUCUGGUCUGUAACUGACGCUGAGGCGCGAAAGCGUGGGGAGCAAACAGG